GGCAGGAUCCAAUUCUCUGCCACCGAAUACAUUAGCAUGGGAUAAUGGAAUAGGACCCUGUCCUCCUAUUUUCAGUUGGUUUUGGCAGCGCGAGGACUAGGGUAAUGAUUAAUAGGGAUAGUUGGGGGCAUUAAUAUUUAAUUGUCAGAGGUGAAAUUCUUGGAUUUAUGAAAGAUUAACUUCUGCGAAAGCAUCUGCCAAGGAUGUUUUCAUUAAUCAAGAACGAAAGUUAGGGGAUCGAAGACGAUCAGAUACCGUCGUAGUCUUAACCAUAAACGAUGCCGACCAGCGAUUAGGAGACGUUGAAUACAAAACACCACCAUCGGUGCGGCUGUUCUUGGCGUCGGUUUCGGCCGGCGCGGGGAUGGCUUAGCCCGGUGGCACCGGUGAAUGACUCCCCUAGCAGCUUGUGAGA
rnacentral:rRNA from 1 species